GGCUGGAUGGUGUAGUUGGUUAUCACGUAUCGCUCACAAAGCCGGAAGAUCUUUUCCUCCGCCUUGAAGGUGCCGAUAAGGUCCUGGGAUCGAACCCCAGUCUAGUCA